CAGACCUCUAAUCGGAAAAGACUACCCGCUGAGUUUAAGCAUAUCACUAAGCGGAGGAGAAGAAACUAAC
rnacentral:rRNA from 1 species